rnacentral:rRNA from 2 species
CACGGUAGGGUCAGCGACUGGGGUGAAGUCGUAACAAGGUAGCCGUAGGGGAACCUGCGGCUGGAUCACCUCCUU